GAUGAGCGCUAGCGAUAGGCUUAACACAUGCAAGUCGAGGGGUAACAUUGGAGUAGCUUGCUACCUCUGAUGACGACCGGCGGAUGGGUGAGUAACGCGUAUGCAACUUGCCUCUUAGUGGGGAAUAACCCGGAGAAAUCCGGACUAAUACCGCAUACACUUAGUUAUCCGCAUGGAUGAUUAAGGAAAGAUUUAUUGCUAAGAGAUAGGCAUGCGUUCCAUUAGUUAGUUGGUGAGGUAACGGCUCACCAAGGCAUCGAUGGAUAGGGGAGCUGAGGGGAAGGUCCCCCACAUUGGAACUGAGACACGGUCCAA
rnacentral:rRNA from 1 species